UACAGAGGGUGCAAGCGUUGUUCGGAAUUAUUGGGCGUAAAGCGCGUGUAGGCGGCUUUGCAAGUCGGGUGUGAAAGCCCUCAGCUCAACUGAGGAAGUGCGCCCGAAACUGCGGAGCUUGAGUACCGGAGAGGAUGGUGGAAUUCCCCAAGUAGAGGUGAAAUUCGUAGAUAUGGGGAGGAACACCGGUGGCGAAGGCGACCAUCUGGACGGAUACUGACGCUGAGACGCGAAAGCGUGGGUAGCAAACAGG
rnacentral:rRNA from 1 species